CGUUGAUUACGUCCCUGCCCUUUGUACACACCGCCCGUCGCUACUACCGAUUGAAUGGCUCAGUGAGGCUUCCGGACUGGCCCAGAGAGGUCGGCAACGACCACUCAGGGCCGGAAAGUUCUCCAAACUCGGUCAUUUAGAGGAAGUAAAAGUCGUAACAAGG
rnacentral:rRNA from 1 species